ACGGAAUGAAGUGACCAAAGUCACAUAAUUUGAUAUUUGGUGAUAAGUGAUUGAAGAAGUAUUGUUUGAAAUCGAAAGGUGAAAGUGUACUGGAAUCCAUAAGAGAAAUGAGAUUUAUAUCAUAGAGGGAAACAAUUUAAACCUAUACGUGGACUAGUAGGACCACCAUUAUAAGGUGAUUAGCCAAAAAGGAAGGAAUUAAGUGUUUGGG
rnacentral:lncRNA from 1 species